rnacentral:rRNA from 1 species
GACGAACGCUGGCGGCGUGCUUAACACAUGCAAGUGGAGCGACGAACCAGGGCUUGCCCUGGGGCAAAGCCGCGAACGGGUGAGUAACACGUGGGUAACCUGCCCCGAUGACCGGGACAACCCGAGGAAACUCGGGCUAAUACCGGAUGAGCUCACGCCACAUCAGUGGCAUGAGGAAAGGAAGCUUCGGCCUCCGCAUUGGGAUGGGCCCGCGGCCCAUUAGCUUGUUGGUGGGGAAAGGCCUACCAAGGCUUCGAUGGGUAGCUGGUCUGAGAGGACGAUCAGCCACACUGGGACUGAGACACGGCCCAGACUCCUACGGGAGGCAGCAGUGGGGAAUCUUGCGCAAUGCGCGAAAGCGUGACGCAGCAACGCCGCGUGCGGGAAGACGGCC